AGAUUGAACGCUGGCGGCAGGCCUAACACAUGCAAGUCGAGCGGUAGAGAGGUGCUUGCAUCUCUUGAGAGCGGCGGACGGGUGAGUAAUGCCUAGGAAUCUGCCUAGUGGUGGGGGAUAACGUUCGGAAACGGACGCUAAUACCGCAUACGUCCUACGGGAGAAAGCGGGGGACCUUCGGGCCUCGCGCCAUUAGAUGAGCCUAGGUCAGAUUAGCUAGUUGGUGAAGGUAAAGGCUCACCAAGGCGACGAUCUGUAGCUGGUUUGAGAGGACGACCAGCCACACUGGGACUGAGACAACGGCCCAGACUCCUACGGGAGGCAGCAGUGGGGAAUUUUGGACAAGUGGGGGAAACCUGAUCCAGCCAUCCCGCGUGUGCGAUGGAAGGCCGUUACGGGUUGUAAA
rnacentral:rRNA from 1 species